rnacentral:rRNA from 1 species
UACGUAGGGUGCGAGCGUUGUCCGGAAUUAUUGGGCGUAAAGAGCUUGUAGGUGGUUUGUCGCGUCUGCUGUGAAAAUCCGGGGCUCAACCCCGGACUGCAGUGGGUACGGGCAGACUAGAGUGUGGUAGGGGAGACUGGAAUUCCUGGUGUAGCGGUGGAAUGCGCAGAUAGUCAGGAGGAACACCGAUGGCGAAGGCAGGUCUCUGGGCCAUUACUGACACUGGAGA